UACGAAGGGGGCGAGCGUUGUUCGGAUUUACUGGGCGUAAAGGGCGCGCAGGCGGCUCAUUUUGUCAGGCGUGAAAGCCCCGGGCUUAACCUGGGAACUGCGCUUGAUACGGAUGGGCUAGAGUUCGGGAGAGGAGAGUGGAAUUCCCAGUGUAGAGGUGAAAUGCGUAGAUAUCAGGAGGAACACCGGUGGUGUAGACGGCUCUCUGGACCAUAACUGACGCUGAGACACGAAAGCGUGGGUAGCAAACAGG
rnacentral:rRNA from 1 species